GGUGAAUUGCUGCUGGCUAGCAUUUAUUUGUGCCAAUUUGUCAUUUUGAUUGUUGCUUGAUGUGGUUCGUGAAUCAUGCUAUUUGACUGUUGCUGCUUGGUGCAUUGUUUUAUUUUGACACGGAUAAUGUUAAAAUUUGAUUCUAACCUGUAAAGUACAGCUUAAAUUGUUACUCAAUCAUCGGAAGAUUGCUUAUUUGUGCUUUUAAGAAUGAACCUUUAGUUUUUUUAUUUCAUGCGCCUAUUGGUUUGUAAUCAUUGCGUGAUAGCAUUUAGUAAUUUAGUGAGUUUAUUUCAAGGAGGAGGAACGUGCGUAUCUAAAUUCAGGUAUAUGAGAAUGUGGAUUUGCUUUGGAGUUCAUGAUUAAACCAAUGCACUCAUAUUGUUGCAGUUUAAUGCUUUAGCCUAUGUGAGAGGGGAUGGUAUCAGAUUUAACCCCUAAUGUGUUGGUGAAAUAUAUAGUUUAGUGAGAGGAUCCAUUCCCAUGCAUAUGACAUAACAUCAUAUUAUCUCACAAUUGAGAAGUUUGUGAUUACCAGAACAAUGAUGUGGCCAGGAUCAUUCAUUAUAUUAGUUCUUUUUUGUUCAUGAAUUCUUAAUCAUGGUUUUUUUAAUUUUUGAACCAGUCCAAUAUGAGAAUUUUGGUCACUGGAGGAGCUGGUUUUAUUGGUUCUCACCUAGUUGACAGAUUGAUGGAAAAUGAGAAAAAUGAGGUUUGCUUAGCUUAUUUCUUUCUGUGUACUUUGUAUUCAAGUUUUCUAUGUCUAUCAACAGUUUUGACAAAGUUUUCGUACAACGUAACACUAUGUUUCUCUGCUCAGGUAAUUGUUGCUGAUAACUUCUUCACUGGAUCUAAAGACAACCUUAGAAAAUGGAUUGGUCAUCCAAGAUUUGAGCUGAUUCGUCAUGGUAUAAUUUCGCCAAUUUGUCUAUCACAAUCAUAUGCAGCCUGACUAUUGCAUAUAAGAUGGAAAUUGAAAUUGAAAUCAAAACUUAUGUCCUAUGGUUGUACAUUACAUUGUAUUUGGGGUGUUAAAUCUAGAUUGUUAGUGAUCUUAAAAACUAUGAAGCAUGCAAUAGAAGCUUGUUGGCCCUUUGAUAUUGUACUCGUACAACAUGAAUGAUACUUCUGCAUGAGCAUUAAAAUUUGUGUAUCUCAAUGUCUUUAAACUUUUUAAUAAACUAUAGACCUCAACAUUCAUUUCUUUUCUUUUCCCUUGAGUAGAUGUGACAGAGCAACUGUUGGUUGAGGUUGAUCAGAUCUACCAUCUUGCAUGCCCUGCUUCUCCGAUUUUCUACAAAUACAAUCCUGUAAAGGUAGGGUUUCUAUAGUCUCUAUACAUGAUCAUUUUCAAGAGUAGCUUACAGAACCCCUUCUUUGUCUCUCCCCCCAUCUCUCCCCCCACCCUUAAACUUAUAUUUAAGUUUUAUUGUUGUUGUUAUUAUUAUUAUUAUGUCCAGUAACUCAGAUUGUGUACAUUUUCCGAUUGAUCUAUAUGAUGCUUUAGCCUAUGUGAGAGGGGAUGGUAUCAGAUUUAACCCCUAAUGUGUUGGUGAAAUAUAUAGUUUAGUGAGAGGAUCCAUUCCCAUGCAUAUGACAUAACAUCAUAUUAUCUCACAAUUGAGAAGUUUGUGAUUACCAGAACAAUGAUGUGGCCAGGAUCAUUCAUUAUAUUAGUUCUUUUUUGUUCAUGAAUUCUUAAUCAUGGUUUUUUUAAUUUUUGAACCAGUCCAAUAUGAGAAUUUUGGUCACUGGAGGAGCUGGUUUUAUUGGUUCUCACCUAGUUGACAGAUUGAUGGAAAAUGAGAAAAAUGAGGUUUGCUUAGCUUAUUUCUUUCUGUGUACUUUGUAUUCAAGUUUUCUAUGUCUAUCAACAGUUUUGACAAAGUUUUCG
rnacentral:lncRNA from 1 species